GACGAACGCUGGCGGCGUGCUUAACACAUGCAAGUCGAACGGAAAGGCCCUGCUUGCAGGGUACUCGAGUGGCGAACGGGUGAGUAACACGUGGGUGAUCUGCCCUGCACUUCGGGAUAAGCCUGGGAAACUGGGUCUAAUACCGGAUAGGAGCCAUUUUUAGUGUGAUGGUUGGAAAGUUUUUUCGGUGUAGGAUGAGCUCGCGGCCUAUCAGCUUGUUGGUGGGGUAAUGGCCUACCAAGGCGGCGACGGGUAGCCGGCCUGAGAGGGUGGACGGCCACAUUGGGACUGAGAUACGGCCCAGACUCCUACGGGAGGCAGCAGUGGGGAAGAUUGCACAAUGGGCGCAAGCCUGAUGCAGCGACGCCACGUGGGGGAUGACGGCCUUCGGGUUGUAAACUCCUUUCGCUAGGGACGAAGCUUUUUGUGACGGUACCUAGAUAAGAAGCACCGGCUAACUACGUG
rnacentral:rRNA from 1 species